UUUUGGCUGCUACAGCUUUGCAGGCAAAAAAACUUGCCUGAUAUUCUUCUCUUCUCUACUGAAGAAGAAAAGGAAAUGAAAAAAUUGGACAGAAAUCGUUAGGAGAGCAAGAUGGAAGCAAAAGAAGCAGGAAAGAUUUUGUCCAUAAACAGCUCACUGCAGGUUGCUUGCAAUAAUGUUUCUGAUGGUUUAACUGAUUUCUAGACAAAUUGCAAGAUAAUUCCGAUCAUAUAGACUACUUUUUAACACUAGCUUCCUGCUGUAACAUAGCAAAAUAAUAAGCAGAAAAAUAAGUAAUGCCUGGUAAUUCAAGUUUCAGCUAUAAAAAGUGAUGCAACAACAUGAGAACAACCUUUAUCAUACCACAACAUGCAGCCUGAGGGAGACUAAAA